rnacentral:misc_RNA from 1 species
AACGCACAUUGCGCCCUGUGGUAUUCCGCAGGGCAUGCCUGUUCGAGCGUCAGUACAACACUCAAGCCUAGCUUGGUCUUGGGCCUCGCCGGAAACGGCGGGCCUUAAAAGUAGUGGCGGCGCCCGCUGGGCUCUAAGCGUAGUAAUACUCCUCGCUAUAGAGACCCGGUGGAUGCUGGCCAGCAACCCCCAACUUUCUAAGUUUGACCUCGGAUCAGGUAGGGAUACCCGCUGAACUUAA